rnacentral:rRNA from 1 species
AGUGAACGCUGGCGGUAGGCCUAACACAUGCAAGUCGAACGGCAGCACAGUAAGAGCUUGCUCUAACGGGUGGCGAGUGGCGGACGGGUGAGGAAUACAUCGGAAUCUACUUUUUCGUGGGGGAUAACGUAGGGAAACUUACGCUAAUACCGCAUACGACCUACGGGUGAAAGCAGGGGAUCUUCGGACCUUGCGCGAGUGAAUGAGCCGAUGUCGGAUUAGGUAGUUGGCGGGGUAAAGGCCCACCAAGGCGACGGUCCGUAGCUGGCAUGAGAGGGAGAUGAGGCAGACUGGAGAUGAGACACGGUCCCAAGGCCUACGAGAGGCGGCAGUGGGGAAUACUGGAGAAUGCAGGCAAGCAUAAUCCAGACUGACCGCGUGGGUGAAGAAGGCCUUCUGGUUGUAAAAACAUUUUGUUGGGAAAGAAAAGCAGCAGGUUAAGGCCCCGAUGUUCUGACGGUACCCAAAGAAUAAGCACCGGCUAACUUCGUG